rnacentral:rRNA from 1 species
AUUGAACGCUGGCGGCAGGCCUAACACAUGCAAGUCGAGCGGAUGAAGGGAGCUUGCUCCUGGAUUCAGCGGCGGACGGGUGAGUAAUGCCUAGGAAUCUGCCUGGUAGUGGGGGAUAACGUCCGGAAGCGGGCGCUAAUACAGCAUACGUCCAGAGGGAGAAAGUGGGGGUUCUUCGGACCUCACGCUAUCAGAUGAGCCUAGGUCGGAUUAGCUAGUUGGUGGGGUAAAGGCCUACCAAGGCGACGAUCCGUAACUGGCCUGAGAGGAUGAUCAGUCACACUGGAACUGAGACACGGUCCAGACUCCUACGGGAGGCAGCAGUGGGGAAUAUUGGACAAUGGGCGAAAGCCUGAUCCAGCCAUGCCGCGUGUGUGAAGAAGGUCUUCGGAUUGUAAAGCACUUUAAGUGGGGAGGAAGAGCAGUAAGUUAAUACCUUGCUGUCUUGACGUUACCAACAGAAUAAGCACCGGCUAACUUCGUG